rnacentral:rRNA from 1 species
UUGUUGGUAAGGUAAAAGCUUACCAAGGCUUCGAUCAGUAGCUGGUCUGAGAGGACGACCAGCCACACUGGGACUGAGACACGGCCCAGACUCCUACGGGAGGCAGCAGUGGGGAAUUUUGGACAAUGGGGGCAACCCUGAUCCAGCCAUGCCGCGUGAGUGAAGAAGGCCUUCGGGUUGUAAAGCUCUUUCAGCCGGAACGAAACGGUUACGGUUAACACCCGUGACUACUGACGGUACCGGAAGAAGAAGCACCGGCUAACUACGUGCCAGCAGCCGCGGUAAUACGUAGGGUGCGAGCGUUAAUCGGAAUUACUGGGCGUAAAGCGUGCGCAGGUGGUUUUGUAGGUCAGAUGUGAAAGCCCCGGGCUCAACCUGGGAACUGCGUUUGAAACUACAAGACUAGAGUGUGGCAGAGGGGGGUGGAAUUCCGCGUGUAGCAGUGAAAUGCGUAGAGAUGUGGAGGAACACCGAUGGCGAAGGCAGCCCCCUGGGUCAACACUGACGCUCAGGCACGAAAGCAUGGGGAGCAAACAGGAUUAGAUACCCUGGUAGUCCAUGCCCUAAACGAUGUCAACUAGUUGUCGGGCCUUUACGGGCUUGGUAACGUAGCUAACGCGUGAAGUUGACCGCCUGGGGAGUACGAUCGCAAGAUUAAAACUCAAAUGAAUUGACGGGGACCCGCACAAGCGGUGGAUUAUGUGGAUUAAUUCGAUGCAACGCGAAAAACCUUACCUACCCUUGACAUGUAUCGAAGCCCGCAGAAAAGCGGGGGUGCCCGAAAGGGAACGAUAACACAGGUGCUGCAUGGCUGUCGUCAGCUCGUGUCGUGAGAUGUUGGGUUAAGUCCCGCAACGAGCGCAACCCUUGUCAUUAAUUGCCAUCAUUUAGUUGGGCACUCUAAUGAGACUGCCGG